GGGAGAAGGAGAGGGGCGGGAAGGCUCCUCGCGUUUUCCACGCCCCCGCCCAGCUCUGGGCUGGUGGUAAAUCUCGGAACUGGUCCGGACUGGGCGAGUUCUGGACGGAGGGGCAUGUUUGGGAAUCCUCUUGGAAGAAUUUACGUAAUCGAAUGGGCUGGGACUGGUGGAAAAGAGUUGGACCGUCCGGAAAGAAGCAGGAGGGCGGCGCGGGGGCCUGGCACCCUUAGAAAGUGGGAAGUGUGAGUGUAAAAGGGAGGGGCACUUCUGCCCGUUGGGCCCAAAAACCCUUUUCUGGCUUUAGCUAGUAGAACCACUCAAAAUUUAAACGGAGUCAGCUUGAUGUGGCAUAUUUGAUAAGCUGGAUAAUAUUUCCUGCACCACCGCACCCCUCCCCCCACCCCAACACCAACAAGAAAAUAACACAAGUCACGGUUCUUGUUCCUUGUGGGCUGACAUUUCCCUACCUCUGGAGCCACGUGUCCGAAGCAGCUUGUAGUUGAGAAGUGAUGGGGGAGAGGAGACAGCACGGGAGAGAAAGGAGGGAAGCCAGCUUAUAUUCAGACGGAAUCUCACUCUGUCACCCAGGCUGGAGUGCAGUGGCACAAUCUCAGCUCACUGCAACCUCGACCUCCCAGGUACAAGCAAUUCUCCUGCCUCAGCCUCCCAAGUAGCUAGGAUUACAGGAUCCAGCCAUAUUUGGAGUCUGCUCUACACUGGAACAUCUUUUUUUUCUUUUUUAGAUGGAGUUUUGCUCUUGUCGCCCCAGCUGGAGUGCAGUGGUGCGAUCUCAGCGAUCUCAGCUCACUACAACCUCUGCCUCUUGGGUUCAAGCAGUUCUCCUGCCUCAACCACCUGAGUAGCUGGGAUUACAGGCGCCUGCCACCACGCCUGGCUAAUUUUUGUAUUUUUAGUAGAGAUGGGGUUUCACCAGGUUGGUCAGUCUGGUCUCGAAUUCCUGACCUCAGGUGAUCCACCCACCUCGGCCUCCCAAAGUGCUGGGAUUACAGGCGUGAGCCACCAUGCCCAGCCUACACUUGGGCUUCUUAGGCACAAGAUCCAGUAAGCCCUCCCUCCUCCUCCCCACCCCUUUUUUCUUUACACUAGUGUUUUCCGUAAUCCUGCAACAGAAAGAGUCCUAACUGAUAUAUUUGUGACCAUUUCUAAAUCUCCAAAAUGUAAAAUUAUACAAUUAAGAAUUAAAAUAAUUUUUAAAAACCAA